rnacentral:rRNA from 1 species
GACGAACGCUGGCGGCGUGCCUAAUACAUGCAAGUUGAGCGAUGAAGAUUGGUGCUUGCACCAAUUUGAAGAGCAGCGCACGGGUGAGUAACGCGUGGGGAAUCUGCCUUUGAGCGGGGGACAACAUUUGGAAACGAAUGCUAAUACCGCAUAAUAACUUUAAACAUAAGUUUUAAGUUUGAAAGAUGCAAUUGCAUCACUCAAAGAUGAUCCCGCGUUGUAUUAGCUAGUUGGUGAGGUAAAGGCUCACCAAGGCGAUGAUACAUAGCCGACCUGAGAGGGUGAUCGGCCACAGUGGGACUGAGACACGGCCCAAACUCCUACGGGAGGCAGCAGUAGGGAAUCUUCGGCAAUGGACGAAAGUCUGACCGAGCAACGCCGCGUGAGUGAAGAAGGUUUUCGGAUCGUAAAACUCGGUUGGUAGAGAAGAACGUUGGUGAGAGUGGAAAGCUCAUCAAGUGACGGUAACUACCCAGAAAGGGACGGCUAACUACGUG